GGUUCCGUAGUGUAGUGGUUAUCACGUUCGCUUCACCCCAGAAAGGUCUCGGUUCGAUCCCGGACGGAACCA
rnacentral:tRNA from 1 species